rnacentral:rRNA from 1 species
UUGAUCCUGGCUCAAGAGAACGCUAGCGGGAGGCUUAACACAUCGCAAGUCGAGAAAGUAUGAGUAGCAAUAUUCAGAGACCGGCGCACGAGGUGAGUAACGCGUAUGCAACCUGCCUUUACAGGGGAUAGCCCGUCGAAGGCGGAUUAAUACCCCCAUAACAUUAUUUUGCCGCAUGGUAGAAUGAUAAAAGCUGAGGCGGUAAAGGAUGGCAUGCGUGACAUUAGCUAGUUGGUAGGUAACGGCCUACCCAAGGCUACGAUGUCUAGGGGUUCUGAGAGGAAGGUCCCCCCACACUGGUACUGAGACACGGACCAGACUCUUACGGGAGGCAGCAGUGAGGAAUAUUGGUCAAUGGGCGGGAGCCUGAACCAGCCAUCCCGCGUGCAGGAAGACGGCCCUAUGGGUUGUAAACUGCUUUUGUGCAGGAAGAACGCUCUCUACGAGUAGAGAGGUGACGGUACUGCAUGAAUAAGCACCGGCUAACUCCGUGCCAGCAGCCGCGGUAAUACGGAGGGUGCAAGCGUUAUCCGGAUUUAUUGGGUUUAAAGGGUGCGUAGGCGGUGAAAUAAGUCAGUGGUGAAAAGCUGCAGCUCAACUGUAGUCGUGCCAUUGAAACUGUUUUACUUGAGUAACCGUGAGGUAGGCGGAAUGUGUAGUGUAGCGGUGAAAUGCUUAGAUAUUACACAGAACACCGAUUGCGUAGGCAGCUUACUAGCGGUUUACUGACGCUGAUGCACGAAAGCGUGGGGGAUCAAACAGGAUUAGAUACCCUGGUAGUCCACGCCGUAACGAUGAUAACUCGCUGUUGGCGGUACACAGUCAGCGGCUUAGCGAAGCGUUAAGUUAUCCACCUGGGGAGUACGCUCGCAAGAGUGAAACUAAAGGAAUUGACG